rnacentral:rRNA from 1 species
GACGAACGCUGGCGGCGUGCUUAACACAUGCAAGUCGAACGAAGUGGCGAACGGGUGAGUAACGCGUAAUCAACCUGCCCUUCAGAGGGGGACAACAGUUGGAAACGACUGCUAAUACCGCAUACUGAAGGAGGGGAUUGCGUCUGAUGAGCUAGGUGGCGGGGUAACGGCCCACCAAGGCGAUGAUCAGUAGCCGGUCGGAGAGGAUGACCGGACAAAUGUGGACUGAGCAACGGCCAAGACUCGUACGGGAGGAAGAAGUGGGGAAUCUUCCGAAAUGGACGAAAGUCUGACGGAGCAACGCCGCGUGAGGGAUGACGGCCGUCGGGUUGUAAAGCUCUGUUAAUCGGGACGCGGUACCGGAAUAGAAAGCCACGGCUAACUACGUGCCAGACGCCGCGGUAAUAC